rnacentral:rRNA from 1 species
UACCUAUGAGCGCGCGCGGGUUCUCAUUUUUGUUGGCUCAUUAAGAGUCCGCCGGUUAAUGGAUUAUUAUGGGACAGUUCGGGGGCAUCAGUAUUCACCUGUCCAGAAGGGUGAAAUCUCUGGAUCAAAUGAAGGCCUAACUACUGCGGAAAGCACAUUUGGCCAAGGAUGGUUUCCAUUAAUCUCAGAACGGAAAGGUUAAGGGGAUUCGAAGACCGAUUCAGAUUCCGUCGUAGUCCUUAAACCAUAUAACCUAUAGCCGACUUAGGGAUUCCGACCGGUGUUUAUUCCAUGACCCCGUUCCGGCACCUUACCGAGGAAAUUCAAAGUGCCUUGGGCUUCCAGGGGGGAAGUAUUGGUCGCAAGGCCUGAAACUUAAAAGAAAUUGACGGAAGGGCAACCCCAGGGGGGGGAGACUGCGGCUUAAUUUGACUCAACACGGGGAAACUCACCAGGUCCAGACACAAUAAGGAUUGACAGAUUGAGAGCUCUUUCUUGAUUUUGUGGGUGGUGGUGCAUGGCCGUUCUUAGUUGGUGGGGUGACUUGUCUGCUUAAUUGCGAUAACGAACGAGACCUUAACCUGCUAAAUAGCCCGCAUUGCUCCGGCAGUGCGCUGGCUUCUUAGAGGGACUUUCGGCUCAAGCCGAAGGAAGUUUGAGGCAAUAACAGGUCUGUGAUGCCCUUAGAUGUUCUGGGCCCGCACGCGCGCUACACUGACGGGGUCAGCGAGUUCCUUGGCCGAAAGGCCCGGGUAAUCUUGUUAGCCCCCGUCGUGCUGGGGAUAGAGCAUUGCAAUUAUUGCUCUUCAACGAGGAAUCCCUAGUAAGCGCAAGUCAUCAGCUUGCGUUGAUUACGUCCCUGCCCUUUGUACACACCGCCCGUCAA